UGAUCACGUCACAAGCAGGUUGCUGACAGGGGGUGAGGAGGCCUUACAGAAAAAGCCACCACCACGAUUUCUCUCCGAGCCAACCAUGUGCCUCAGACUUCUCUACUGUGUGGCCCUUUCUUUCUUGGGAGCAGGCUCCUUGGACACCAAGGUCACCCAGAGACCUAGACAUGUGGUCACAGUGAAGGAACAGAAAGCAAAGAUGGAUUGUGUUCCUAUGAAAGGACAUAGUUAUGUUUACUGGUAUCGUAAGAAGCUGGAAGAAGAGCUCAAGUUUUUGGUUUACCUGCAGAAUGGAGAAAUCAUUCAGAAAGCAGAAGUGAUCAAUGAGCGAUUUUCAGCCCAAUGCCCCGAAAACUCACCCUGUGCCUUGGAGAUCCAGUCUACUGAGUCAGGGGAUGCAGGACUGUAUUUCUGUGCCAGCAGCAAAGCCACAGUGUCAAAUGUUAGCCUUUCUUAGAACACAAACUCAUCACGGACCCAGCUCAGGAAAUAAGUGGUAUAUCAGGUUGGUAGGAACUAUAAUAUCAGAAACCAAGCUUGAAAGACAAUAAAUCAGAAGGAAAAACUUGUAAAUAACAGCUCUAAGUGAGG